rnacentral:rRNA from 1 species
GAUGAACGCUGGCGGCGUGCCUAAUACAUGCAAGUCGAGCGAACAGACGGGGAGCUUGCUCCUCUGACGUUAGCGGCGGACGGGUGAGUAACACGUGGAUAACCUACCUAUAAGACUGGGAUAACUUCGGGAAGCCGGAGCUAAUACCGGAUAAUAUAUUGAACCGCAUGGUUCAAUAGUGAAAGACGGUUUUGCUGUCACUUAUAGAUGGAUCCGCGCCGCAUUAGCUAGUUGGUAAGGUAACGGCUUACCAAGGCAACGAUGCGUAGCCGACCUGAGAGGGUGAUCGGCCACACUGGAACUGAGACACGGUCCAGACUCCUACGGGAGGCAGCAGUAGGGAAUCUUCCGCAAUGGGCGAAAGCCUGACGGAGCAACGCCGCGUGAGUGAUGAAGGUCUUCGGAUCGUAAAACUCUGUUAUUAGGGAAGAACAAAUGUGUAAGUAACUAUGCACGUCUUGACGGUACCUAAUCAGAAAGCCACGGCUAACUACGUG